rnacentral:miRNA from 1 species
GAAAGAGAUCUGAGUGGG